AGCGAACGCUGGCGGCAGGCCUAACACAUGCAAGUCGAACGAAGUCUUCGGACUUAGUGGCGGACGGGUGAGUAACACGUGGGAACGUGCCUUUAGGUUCGGAAUAACUCAGGGAAACUUGUGCUAAUACCGAAUGUGCCCUUCGGGGGAAAGAUUUAUCGCCUUUAGAGCGGCCCGCGUCUGAUUAGCUAGUUGGUGAGGUAAAGGCUCACCAAGGCUACGAUCAGUAGCUGGUCUGAGAGGAUGACCAGCCACAUUGGGACUGAGACACGGCCCAAACUCCUACGGGAGGCAGCAGUGGGGAAUCUUGCGCAAUGGGCGAAAGCCUGACGCAGCCAUGCCGCGUGGAUGAUGAAGGUCUUAGGAUUGUAAAAUCCUUUCACCGGUGAAGAUAAUGACUGUAGCCGGAGAAGAAGCCCCGGCUAACUUCGUGCCAGCCGCCCGCUGUAACGC
rnacentral:rRNA from 1 species